UUUGUUAUUGGGCUUGAAUUUUUUUUUUUUUGAAGCCAAUUUUGGGCCUAGGCCUAUCUCAUCCAUUACGCAGUAUUCUGCAAGUUAUUAGCAUUGAGAAUAGAUGAAAAGAGUAAAAACUUGGGAGUGAUAAAACUCGACUGAUCAAUAGAGACAAGAAAUCCUGUAAUCCUGUACAUAUUGAUGUUUCACAGAAGUACAAAAUAUAUGGAGAGAUCAGUAAUUGCUUUCACUUCGGAACUCAUUGAAUUCUCUCCACCCUCUUGCCGAGUCCCACCUUGAAUUCCAACUAGGGGAUGCUUAACCUCUUCAUAUUUCUGUUUUUCCACAAGUGGCGCUUUUUCUUCACUCACUCAAAAGGAAAAGCAGUUCUCUCCACCCCUUGUCUUCAACUACUAGCCACCAACAGUUGAUUUCAGAUAUUUUCCUAAAACGGCGAAACUAAACUCUCCACAUACAUAGCUGGUUCCGGUGCCAAAUCAACAGGAGUCUCAAGAACAUUCACACAUGCCCCUCCAUUUGGACUAUACAGCACCAAGUAGUUCCCAUUAGAAUUCAUCAAAACUUCACCGUUCUCUAAAAUGCAUAUAGGAGUAGAAAAACUGUAACAAUAUCCAAUAGGAAGUUGAGGUAUUUCUGUGGGAAUUUGCAUAACUUUAGUCCAAGAUUCUCUCAUCACCCACAUUGUAAUUUCACUGCUGUUAUAGAUAUAUACAAAGAGACUAUUUUCAGCAAUCCCAAUCCGAGCAGAGAUAUAUUCCCGACUAAGAUAUGACAAUGGAAUCAACUCCUGAAAUGUCUCCUCUGCUAAAUCAAAACACAUGAUCCUUGCACUAAGUACCGGCCGAAUCGUCACCCCCGCGUCCCAUUUCAUCUCGACCCAAUGUAGAGCACCAUUUGAUAAGCACCCCUGCCCAUUCAAAUUAACAUAAUCGAGGCCAUCAAUAGUCCUCCAUGACCCUUUUUUGAGCUGAAACAUCACAACUGUGGUUGCAAGAGCACCAUUUCUUUCGCCUCUGCAGCCAAAUACAACCUUGUAGUCAUCAAUGGUGGAAUCAUAACCAAACCCAUAAAACAUUACGAUACCCACAUGAGAGUGACGAAUUUUCCAGUAAACAAAUCAAGCCAUUGCAAGAACCCACAAAUUUCAAAGCUCCAACAGGGAUAGGUAAAUCAAGGCUAGUGCUUGAGACGCUGCAAACGGCGUCGUUCAGUGCACUGAUGUCAAUGGACUGGAAAGGUGCGACUGAGAAAAGCAGCCUGCGGCGGCGGUUGAAGCGGCGGAGGUGCAUCGUAACCAAGUGAGAAUCGGAGAUCAAAGCACGCCAUGACUUGCAAACGCAGCGGAAUUGGAUUAGGGUUUUGACUGGGAGUCUUGAUAGUAUGUCGAUAAGAAGAUCAUCGGAUUCGAUGUGAGGUCGGCCGCCGGAGGGGACUAGUUGCUUGUUCUGGUGCCGGUGCCGGAGUCCGGUAGCCAUGUCUCUCAAAAUUCGUCCGAAAUUUGAAAGAUAAUUAAAAGUUUGAAACUUGAAUUAGGGAUUAGUCUUUGAAACUGGAAAGAGCAAUUGAAAACUUACUAGGUAGUUGCGAGCAUGACUGAAAGUCUGAAAGAACGACUGAACGAGCACAAGAAGUUUUGGGGAGCAAGAAAAGAAGGGCAGAGUUUUUUUUGUUUUUUUUUUUGUAUUUUUUUUGGUCUGAG
rnacentral:lncRNA from 1 species